GACGGAGGAUGCAAGCGUUAUCCGGAAUUAUUGGGCGUAAAGCGUCCGCAGGUGGUUAAUCAAGUCUGCUGUGAAAAUCCGGGGCUCAACCCCGGACUUGCAGUGGGUACGGGCAGACUAGAGUGUGGUAGGGGAGACUGGAAGUUCCUGGUGUAGCGGUGAAAUGCGCAGAUAUCAGGAGGAACACCGGUGGCGAAGGCGGGUCUGCUGGGCA
rnacentral:rRNA from 1 species